rnacentral:tRNA from 1 species
GCCUCGGUGGCUUAGUUGGCUAGAGCGUCAGCCUUGUAAGCUGAAUGUCGGGGGAUCGAGACCCCCUCGAGGCU